rnacentral:rRNA from 1 species
AAUACGUUCCCGGGCCUUGUACACACCGCCCGUCAAGCCAUGGAAGUUGGGGGUACCUAAAGUCGGCCACCGCAAGGAGGGCGCUUACCACGGUGGGAUUCGUGACUGGGGUG